rnacentral:rRNA from 1 species
AGUGAACGCUGGCGGUAGGCCUAACACAUGCAAGUCGAACGGCAGCACAGUAAGAGCUUGCUCUUACGGGUGGCGAGUGGCGGACGGGUGAGGAAUACAUCGGAAUCUACUUUUUCGUGGGGGAUAACGUAGGGAAACUUACGCUAAUACCGCAUACGACCUACGGGUGAAAGCAGGGGAUCUUCGGACCUUGCGCGAUUGAAUGAGCCGCUGUCGGAUUAGCUAGUUGGCGGGGUAAAGGCCCACCAAGGCGACGAUCCGUAGCUGGUCUGAGAGGAUGAUCAGCCACACUGGAACUGAGACACGGUCCAGACUCCUACGGGAGGCAGCAGUGGGGAAUAUUGGACAAUGGGCGCAAGCCUGAUCCAGCCAGACCGCGUGGGUGAAGAAGGCCUUCGGGUUGUAAAGCCCUUUUGUUGGGAAAGAAAAGCAGCAGGUUAAUACCCCGCUGUUCUGACGGUACCCAAAGAAUAAGCACCGGCUAACUUCGUG